UUUCAAGCAAACUCAGUUGAAUACUUAUAAUAUGACUAACCAUCAAAUAUCAAUCAACCUAUAAUAACGUUUACGGACAACAUCAGCACCAUAACUGUGGCUAAUACAUUUGACACUUUAAAUGUUCACAUGUCAACUGUAAUGAUCGAGGUAAAAUAGUGCAUUAUGUUAUGCUUUUUAAGUAUAAUACAUAUUUAGUACAUACAAACAGUUUUAAAGUCAAAAUCAGUGUUUGGUUCUGCAUCUCCAGCAACAUGCAAUGAGCUGGUUUUAUAUUUGAAAUACGAAUUCUUCGAUUUCCCUAAUGAAGACAAGUGAACUCACUUGAAAUGUUUACAAUUUGAUAUACUGAAGAAGUAGAUUCUUUUUGUAGCAACAACUUCUCUCACGAAAAAGAAGUCAAUCUAGCUUUCAUCCUAGCAUGGAAAAAUUGUCACUCCACAAGAUAAUAAAACUCAAAAAGUUUCUUUUAAUAAAAAUUAAAUCAAUAACAUUCCAGCAGCUAUAUUUGCAAUUUCAUUGUACUCUCUUUUAGUUGACCCAUCUAAUAAUAAUUGCUUGUUUUUUUUAAGCUAGCCAGAAAAAUUAAUUUCUUACUUAAAAUAACUUACAAACUCAUCUGUGAAGCGAUGAUCAACUGUUUAAAGAACACAAUAUGUUUUAAAAGAGGAUGUAUUGCCAAGAUAUUUUAAACUCUUUUCAUUAUUAGAUCUUGUGAUGACUACCUAUUGUAAGAAACCAACUAUUCGACGACAUAGCUCUAGAUAGGCAAAGCGAGUUCAGAUAACUUUUUUCAAUGUAGACUACUACUCACUGGAUUUAAACAUGGUUUUAUUGCUUCAAUUCUUAUCUCUUUUAGGAGAUCCAAGAUAUACUUUCCUUGAGAUAACAUAUGAUCAUUUUCUUUGUUCUGAGUAACUUGAUAGCAAAUUCAUGUUGCAGUCUCUUUAUAACAAAGGAAAGCAUAACAAUUUCUAUAAUGAGAAUACCAUUCGCAUAUACCAAGACAUAAACUAACACCUUCUGUUAUCGAAAAUGAACAAUGGUGUACCUGUCUUUGACAAUUUAAAGCCAUAGUUAAUUAAAAAGGUAAAUAGUCUUCGAAACUAAGUAUGUGGAGCUUGUUCUAGGCUAUAGAAAGACUUGUUAUGCUUACACACAAAGCUAAAUAGUCUUUAUCAAUAAAAAUUGAGGUUUGGUCGUGUAAAUACUUUUCAAGAUUCUCAUAGAGAAGGGCAUUAGACACAUAUAGCUAUUGAAUGUUCCAUUCUCUUGAGAUUGCAAGUGAGAAGACAAGUCUCAUAGUUGUAAAUUUGACAACGAGACUAAAAAUUUUAUCAUACCCAAUUUUGUUCAAUAAAGAAUAAAUAACACUGAUAGUAAUAAUGAUAACAAAAAGCCAUGAAAACAGUGAGUAAAGAAAUUCAAAAAAAUUUAAUUCCUUGACUAUUUAUGUUAUAACAACUAUUAUUAUUAUUAUAGCAAUUUUAAUUUACUUUAUAUUUUCGCAUUCUUAUGCAAAGUGAUUUGUGCACAAAUUUCAUUCAACCAUAAAAAGAGAAUAAAAAUAAAAAUUACGAUUUUUGACCCAAAAAUAUAUGAGACAACCUAAGAAGACUUUCACUAAUCUUAAGGACAAAUGGUUCUACUACUUUGGCUCCUUUAUUUGGGUCAUAGUAUAUCUAACUUAGAAGACUUUGGAGCGAUUGUAGAUAUACUCAUUGAAAUGUAAAUUUUUUGUACAUGGGAAGUAGCCUCUUGGUGUCGAUAUCUAAUACAUUUCUAUACUUUUAUCUCAAAAAAAAGAUAUCUAUUUGCAAUUUUAAUGUAAAAGGAAAGGAACUAGAGAAGCUGUGAUGGAGAAAAUUACCUGUGACUCAAUGGAAAGUUGC
rnacentral:lncRNA from 1 species